UGCCAGACUCCUACGGGAGGCAGCAGUGGGGAAUAUUGGGCAAUGGAGGCAACUCUUACCCAGCAAUGCCGCGUGAAUGAAGAAGGUCUUUGGAUUGUAAAGUUCUUUAAUUGGGGACGAAAAAAAUGACGGUACCCAAGGAAUAAGCCCCGGCUAACUACGUGCCAGCAGCCGCGGUAAUACGUAGGGGGCAAGCGUUAUCCGGAUUUACUGGGUGUAAAGGGGGCGCAGACGGCAGCGCAAGCCAGGAGUGAAAGCCCGGGGCCCAACCCCGGGACUGCUCUUGGAACUGCGCGGCUGGAGUGCAGGAGGGGCAGGCGGAAUUCCUGGUGUAGCGGUGAAAUGCGUAGAUAUCAGGAGGAACACCGGUGGCGAAGGCGGCCUGCUGGACUGCGACUGACGUUGAGGCCCGAAAGCGUGGGGAGCAAACAGGAUUAGAUACCCCGGUAC
rnacentral:rRNA from 1 species